rnacentral:rRNA from 1 species
GACGAACGCUGGCGGCGUGCUUAACACAUGCAAGUCGAGCGGUAAGGCCCUUUCGGGGGUACACGAGCGGCGAACGGGUGAGUAACACGUGGGUGACCUGCCCUCAGCCCUGGGAUAAGCCUGGGAAACCGGGUCUAAUACUGGAUAUGACUCCAUGACGCAUGUUGUGGGGUGGAAAGCCUUGUGCGGCUGAGGAUGGGCCCGCGGCCUAUCAGCUUGUUGGUGGGGUGANGGCCUACCAAGGCGACGACGGGUAGCCGGCCUGAGAGGGCGACCGGCCACACUGGGACUGAGACACGGCCCAGACUCCUACGGGAGGCAGCAGUGGGGAAUCUUGCGCAAUGGGCGAAAGCCUGACGCAGCGACGCCGCGUGAGGGAUGACGGCCU